AGUUUAUCCAUCCAAGGAAUUCUUCCCUCUGAAGUCAGUGGUAGGAGGAGGAAGGCAUUCAACUCACCACCAGAUCCAGUUUCUUCUCUACUUGUAUGGGAACAAGCAUGACACAGAAACUACAUCACUCUUUGGAAUCAAAGGGAUUGGACAGAGUGGCACAGCCUCCUCUGCACCUCGGGGCCUGGCAUCUUGUACCUGCAGUGAGCAAUCCCCAGGGAAACGGGAGGAAACUCUUAAUUCUUCUUACUGAUCCAGACUGCUGCUCAGCAAAUCCCCUCGCCACUGGAGCUGCAGAUCUGAAAUGGCAUUAAAGAGGAAAUCAACCUUUUGCACAGUUUCCUCUUGGAAAUUCAGUUCUCCAGUCCUCCGGCUUCCUUCUGAUGGUGAGAAGCACAUUGUGAGCGAUCCUGCCCCAGGCCCAGGCCGGGCCCUCCUGCCAGGAGCCACCCGCCAUGGACGAGUUGAGCCUGCCACCUCCUGGUGACACUCUCCAGGACUGACCACAGCUUGCAGCUUUACAGCAGCACAUCUCGGCACUUCUCCGAGGCCCCUCGAGCCCCCCGACCCCAGAGAUCUCUGCUGUGGAGUUGUCCUUGUGGCUCUCCUGUGGGGUGUGGGCCUGUGGUUCCCCGUCUCUUGUCGGGGAAAAUUCAAACCAGCUGACAGGGCUGGUGGUUUUGAGCCAGUUGCAGCAGCCUCUGGGAUUUCCUUGGCAUGUUGGAUCUGCCUGUGGGGAAAAGCUGGAAUGAACCAGCUCCGUGUGUGUAACUUUGGGGAUCUUUUCCUGCCUGUUUAACCCAGCUGGGAGGAUUCUUCAGGUGCUGUUCACAUCUCCCCUGUCUGCCACAGUCUGACCAGCUCAUACUUCACCUGGUUUUUCAGCCCCACUCCAUGCUCCAUGUCCAUCCACUCCUGUACCUGGACAAAGCAAUCUGCCAGGAUUUGGUGAGACACCAUGCCCAUCUAUCAGCUGCUGUCACCCUACCCUGAGUCUUGCUUGAUCCCAGAGAAUCAAUCCUGCCUGAUGUAUAAAUACUCGAUCUGGAGUCUCAGCUGUGGAGGAGAACACAGAGCUGUCAGAUAAGCUGCAAUUAGUACAUUUAUCUACUUUAUUUUCCUGUCGUUUCCCAAACACCAUUUGCCUGCCUGCUUUUAAUACACGUUAUUAAACCUGCAGUAAAUGUUGAUUAAAGAAGCCUUAAUCCCAGGUGUUUGUUUUCUAACACUGCUGUGAGAUGCACUCUUCAACUGCCUUCAGGAAAUUUUAUCUUUUUAGGAUUUUUUUCCACCUUCCAAGCACAGUUAUGCCCCGGAAAUAGGAUUUUAAGAGCAGAUUAGUGAGUUGUCCUUCUGAUUUGCUUUGAUGUGCUUGGCUCCACUGGAGAGGGUGAUGGGUCACAGCUUUGCAGGCAGCUCUGCUGCCAUGGAGAAGCACUUCCACCCCUUCACCAAAUGCUCCACAAGCACUUUAAACAAAACACUGCAGAAGAGAUAGAUAUAUUCUUAUUAGUCUUGCAAGAGAAACUACAGCAAUCAAUCCCAGUGCUAGACUAACUCCUUCCUUUUGCAAUUUGGAUGUUUAGAAGCAAUUUGGGGAGUAAUCUCUGCGAAUGGCAGCAUGGAAGUAACUGCCUGCAAUAAAACAUUGCGGGGGUGACUGUUAUCCUAAUGAUAUUUCCAACAAACAUUACUGAAAUAUGCUUUCCUCUCUAAAAAUGGCAACAGAAUUUAAAUGUUCUUAGUGGUAACGUGGAAAUGGAGUAAAAAUUAGCUGGGUUGGUCCUGUGAUGAUGAUGAUUUUUUUAUUAUUGCCAUGGUGGGUGGGUUCCCCCCUUCCUACUGCCCUGUUUAUCCAGGGGUACAGCAUUAUUCCCUGUUCAUUAUUCUCUGCUUCACGACCUGCUCAUGUGCUACUUCAUGUGACAAAGCCCCUUUCCAUUAAACCAAUAUAAAUAAUUGCUAUAUUCUUUCACAGAGGAAGCAGGAAUAUUGCACGUGGCUAUAGCAUUACAGGAAAAAGCUGCUGGCCUGAUCCCAAUGGCCUGUUCUCCUUCUUUUUUUUUUUUUUAUUUUUUCCACAUGGGUUAGUCUCUUAUUCUUUGUGAAUAAUUUAUCCAGGUAUGCUUGAAGAAAUACUCUAAAGAAAUUAUGGCUGUCUUAAAACAUCUAUACCAGUGCUCCCUGUUGGGAGGGUCUCCAGUGAUGCCUAAAUAACCUUCUUUUAUCCUUUCAGCAAAGUGGUUUCCUCUGUGUGUGAGCAGGCCAGGGGUGUUGGGCUGUGCUGGGAUUUUGGGAGAGGAGCUGGGGAGGGUCAGAAGCUGGAGGGGGGCAGUGAUGGGCAAGGAGUGUGAACCAUCCAGCCAUCAUCUAAUUGUGAGGUUAGAAGGGGGCUGAGAUGUUUGGGGAUGCAGUUUGGAGUUGAGCAAAUCCUCCGGGACCUGUGACAGAAUCACAGAGUUUUUAAAGCUGGAAAAAUCCUCUAAGAUUUUUCAGCACAACCAUCACUGCAGCACUGACAGGGGCAGCACUAAACCAUGUCCCCAAGUGCCACAUCUGCACAUCUUUUAAAUCCCUCCAGGGAUGGUGACUUCACCACAGCCUUGGGCAGCCCAUUCCAGUCCUGGACAACCCUUUCAGUGAAGAAAUUUUCUCUAUUUCUCUACUAAACAAUCUAAUUCUUCCUUUAACUCAGUCAGUCUGCUGGCUGCAGCUGGGCUGGGUUUACAGAGCAGGCUAGCUGGGGCAGGGGGCUUCAGGGGGAGCUGCCCACACCUUCCUUGGGUGUGUGGGUGCACGUUGGGUGCCUCUGGUUGCAGAUGGAGCCCACGGUGGCCAAAUCUCUCCAGCCAAUUGCUUCCUGUUUUUCAGCAUUUCCUAACCAAAGUGGGAUGGAUGGAGAAGCAUUGCCAAUCCCUGCUCCUGUCUCCAUCUGGCCAAACUGAGAGGGCUUGAAGGCCAGAAGGAGAAACUCACCAGGAUCAUCAUCAAGGCAUCUGAAAUCUCAGGACAUCAGGAGCUACAGGAAACACAAGCAUGAAAAAAUUUGGGGGAGGCUUCAGACAUUUGCUGUGCCUGGUGCUCCUGCUCAGAAUGCAGCCGAGCAUCUUCCUCCCCCGGAGUCACAACACAGCC